AUUGAACGCUGGCGGCAUGCCUUACACAUACAAGUCGAACGGCAGCGCGGGGGCAACCCUGGCGGCGAGUGGCGAACGGGUGAGUAAUAUAUCGGAACGUGCCCAGUCGUGGGGGAUAACUGCUCGAAAGAGCAGCUAAUACCGCAUACGACCUGAGGGUGAAAGCGGGGGACCGUAAGGCCUCGCGCGAUUGGAGCGGCCGAUAUCAGAUUAGGUAGUUGGUGAGGUAAAGGCUCACCAAGCCGACGAUCUGUAGCUGGUCUGAGAGGACGACCAGCCACACUGGGACUGAGACACGGCCCAGACUUCUACGGGAGGCAGCAGUCGGGAAUUUUGGACAAUGGGCGCAAGCCUGAUCCAGCAAUGCCGCGUGCAGGAAGAAGGCCUCGGUUGUAACUAGCUUUGUCAGGAGAAAGUACCUCUGGGUUAACGACCUCCGGGGGGAGUGACGGUACCUGAAGAAUAAGACACCGGC
rnacentral:rRNA from 1 species